AGCGAACGCUGGCGGCAGGCUUAACACAUGCAAGUCGAACGCCCCGCAAGGGGAGUGGCAGACGGGUGAGUAACACGUGGGAACGUACCCUUUGGUUCGGAAUAACUUGGGGAAACUCAAGCUAAUACCGGAUAAGCCCUUAUGGGGAAAGGUUUACUGCCGAAGGAUCGGCCCGCGUCUGAUUAGCUAGUUGGUGAGGUAAUGGCUCACCAAGGCGACGAUCAGUAGCUGGUCUGAGAGGAUGAUCAGCCACACUGGGACUGAGACACGGCCCAGACUCCUACGGGAGGCAGCAGUGGGGAAUAUUGGACAAUGGGGGCAACCCUGAUCCAGCCAUGCCGCGUGAGUGAUGAAGGCCUUAGGGUUGUAAAGCUCUUUUACCCGGGACGAUAAUGACUGUACCUGGAGAAUAAGCCCCGGCAAACUUCGUGCCAGCAGCCGCAGUAA
rnacentral:rRNA from 1 species